rnacentral:rRNA from 1 species
CAGUCGCCGCGGUAAAACGAAGGGUGCAAGCGUUAAUCGGAAUUACUGGGCGUAAAGCGCGCGUAGGUGGUUCAUUAAGUUGGAUGUGAAAGCCCUGGGCUCAACCUGGGAACUGCAUCCAAAACUGGUGAGCUAGAGUACGGUAGAGAGUAGUGGAAUUUCCUGUGUAGCGGUGAAAUGCGUAGAUAUAGGAAGGAACACCAGUGGCGAAGGCGACUACCUGGACUGAUACUGACACUGAGGUGCGAAAGCGUGGGGAGCAAACAGGAUUAGAUACCCCCGUAGUCCCUGUCUCUUAUAC